GCAUCAAUAGUGUAGCGGUUAACAUUGGAUCUUCCCAUUCUCUACGAGUGUUAGGUCUAGCCCCGGGUUCGACUCCCGGUUGAUGCA